UACCCACCGCCCCCCCAUCACCGCGCUUCGACCUCUCUGUCCCCCCCCCUGUGCACCCGCGUGUACACACCGCUCCACCUCUCUUCAUUCACGUACCGUCUAACACACGCCACACACACGUCGGCCAGUGGCCGUCCCCUGUCCUCGACCGCCGGGCACGUCACACCGCCGCCCUCCUCCAUGGCCAACGCUGAGCUAUCCUCCACUUCAAAUGACCCCCUCGCGCUCUUCCUAAACAGCGUCAUCGAACGAGUCUCUGGCAUUCGCUGCAUCGCCCUCUACGACCAAGACGGCAUCCUCAUCAAAGCAG